rnacentral:rRNA from 1 species
UUUAUGGAGAGUUUGAUCCUGGCUCAGGAUGAACGCUGGCGGCGUGCCUAAUACAUGCAAGUCGAGCGAACUGACGAGGAGCUUGCUCCUUUGACGUUAGCGGCGGACGGGUGAGUAACACGUGGGUAACCUACCUAUAAGACUGGAAUAACUCCGGGAAACCGGGGCUAAUGCCGGAUAACAUAUCGAACCGCAUGGUUCGAUAGUGAAAGACGGUCUUGCUGUCACUUAUAGAUGGACCCGCGCCGUAUUAGCUAGUUGGUGAGGUAACGGCUCACCAAGGCAACGAUACGUAGCCGACCUGAGAGGGUGAUCGGCCACACUGGAACUGAGACACGGUCCAGACUCCUACGGGAGGCAGCAGUAGGGAAUCUUCCGCAAUGGGCGAAAGCCUGACGGAGCAACGCCGCGUGAGUGAUGAAGGUCUUCGGAUCGUAAAGCUCUGUUGUUAGGGAAGAACAAAUGUGUAAGUAACUGUGCACAUCUUGACGGUACCUAACCAGAAAGCCACGGCUAACUACGUGCCAGCAGCCGCGGUAAUACGUAGGUGGCAAGCGUUAUCCGGAAUUAUUGGGCGUAAAGCGCGCGUAGGCGGUUUUUUAAGUCUGAUGUGAAAGCCCACGGCUCAACCGUGGAGGGUCAUUGGAAACUGGAAAACUUGAGUGCAGAAGAGGAAAGUGGAAUUCCAUGUGUAGCGGUGAAAUGCGCAGAGAUAUGGAGGAACACCAGUGGCGAAGGCGGCUUUCUGGUCUGUAACUGACGCUGAUGUGCGAAAGCGUGGGGAUCAAACAGGAUUAGAUACCCUGGUAGUCCACGCCGUAAACGAUGAGUGCUAAGUGUUAGGGGGUUUCCGCCCCUUAGUGCUGCAGCUAACGCAUUAAGCACUCCGCCUGGGGAGUACGGUCGCAAGACUGAAACUCAAAGGAAUUGACGGGGACCCGCACAAGCGGUGGAGCAUGUGGUUUAAUUCGAAGCAACGCGAAGAACCUUACCAAAUCUUGACAUCUUUUGACCACUCUAGAGAUAGAGUUUUCCUCUUCGGAGGACAAAAUGACAGGUGGUGCAUGGUUGUCGUCAGCUCGUGUCGUGAGAUGUUGGGUUAAGUCCCGCAACGAGCGCAACCCUUGAGCUUAGUUGCCAUCAUUAAGUUGGGCACUCUAAGUUGACUGCCGGUGACAAACCGGAGGAAGGUGGGGAUGACGUCAAAUCAUCAUGCCCCUUAUGAUUUGGGCUACACACGUGCUACAAUGGACAAUACAAAGGGCAGC